rnacentral:rRNA from 1 species
CCUACGGGUGGCAGCAGUCGAGAAUCAUUCACAAUGGGGGAAACCCUGAUGGUGCGACGCCGCGUGGGGGAAUGAAGGUCUUCGGAUUGUAAACCCCUGUCAUGUGGGAGCAAAUUAAAAAGAUAGUACCACACGAGGAAGAGACGGCUAACUCUGUGCCAGCAGCCGCGGUAAUACAAAGGUCUCAAGCGUUGUUCGGAAUCACUGGGCGUAAAGCGUGCGUAGGCUGUUUCGUAAGUCGUGUGUGAAAGGCGCGGGCUCAACCCGCGGACGGCACAUGAUACUGCGAGACUAGAGUAAUGGAGGGGGAACCGGAAUUCUCGGUGUAGCAGUGAAAUGCGUAGAUAUCGAGAGGAACACUCGUGGCGAAGGCGGGUUCCUGGACAUUAACUGACGCUGAGGCACGAAGGCCAGGGGAGCGAAAGGGAUUAGAUACCCCAGUAGUC